GAGAUUUGAGGUGAGAACGGCCUCCUCACGCGCCCACGCUCAAUGCGGGGGCAAAGUAGCACCGGCUGCACGGCAUGCCAUGCGGUCGGUGUGAAGAGAUCCGGAUUUGGGCAUCCCGGCAACGUUU
rnacentral:ncRNA from 2 species